GACGAACGCUGGCGGCGUGCUUAACACAUGCAAGUCAAGCGGGAAACUUCGGUUUCCAGCGGCGGACGGGUGAGUAACACGUGGGCAACCUGCCUCACAAUGAGGGAUAGCAACCCGAAAGGAGGAUUAAUACCUCAUAACACAAGAGAAACGCAUGUUUCUCUUGCCAAAGAAUUUCGUUGUGAGAUGGGCCCGCGGCGCAUUAGCUUGUUGGUGAGGUAACGGCUCACCAAGGCUGCGAUGCGUAGCCGACCUGAGAGGGUGAUCGGCCACAGUGGAACUGAGACACGGUCCAGACUCCUACGGGAGGCAGCAGUGGGGAAUAUUGCACAAUGGAGGAAACUCUGAUGCAGCAACGCCGCGUGAGUGAUGAAGGUCUUCGGAUUGUAAAGCUCUGUCUUCUGGGACGAUAAUGACGGUACCAGAGGAGGAAGCCACGGCUAACUACGUGCCAGCCGCCGCUGUAA
rnacentral:rRNA from 1 species